rnacentral:rRNA from 1 species
UUUGCCGGCGACCGGCGCACGGGUGAGUAACACGUAUCCAACCUGCCCUUUACUCGGGGAUAGCCUUUCGAAAGAAAGAUUAAUACCCGAUGGCAUAAUGAUUCCGCAUGGUUUCAUUAUUAAAGGAUUCCGGUAAAGGAUGGGGAUGCGUUCCAUUAGGUUGUUGGUGAGGUAACGGCCCACCAAGCCUUCGAUGGAUAGGGGUUCUGAGAGGAAGGUCCCCCACAUUGGAACUGAGACACGGUCCAAACUCCUACGGGAGGCAGCAUG